rnacentral:rRNA from 1 species
UACGGGGGGGGUAAGCGUUGUUCGGAAUUACUGGGCGUAAAGGGCUCGUAGGCGGCCAACUAAGUCAGACGUGAAAUCCCUCAGCUUAACUGGGGAACUGCGUCUGAUACUGGAUGGCUUGGAUUCGGGAGAGGAAUGCGGAAUUCCAGGUGUAGCGGUGAAAUGCGUAGAUAUCUGGAGGAACACCGGUGGCGAAGGCGGCAUUCUGGACAGCAUCUGACGCUGAGACGCGAAAGCGUGGGGAGCAAACAGG